AGGCACCUCAGAGGCCAAGAAUGCUGAAGACUCAUGCCUGAGAAGGACCUCAGAGGAUUACAAAUGAAAUGCUCUUGCCAGCUGCUAAGAAGGAAGUAGAUGGGAUUUUGCAGGAGGCUGUAAGAAUAGUAAAUGUUUUGCAAUGUUUGCCUGCCUUAGGGAAGGAACCCAAGUGGGCUGAACGUGUUGAAGCCUCAGGACUUUCAAGCUCUAUCCCUUUGAUCAGUCAGCUGACUGAUACCGAAUUUCAUGAAAGGGCAACAAAACAAGUCAGUGAGAUUUUGCUAAAAAAUCUUGAGAAUGAUUCCUGGCCUGAAUCACCAGCUGGCGAAUCUGCUGAAGUUCAUAAUGAUGAAGAUAAUGAUGAUGACGAGUCAAAUGCAAAAGCGGAAAGUCUGACAGACCUCUAUCAGUUUCAAGCCUUUAUUCCAUCUGGCCCUCUGUCACUGUCUGUUGCAGAUGAUCUAGUUGGUGAAGUCAUUGAAUCCAUGAGCGAGACUGUCUCCAGUCAAGAUUUUCAUGUGGCAGCAUUUGAUGUUGUUGGAUACGUUACUGAGGGGAUGAAGGAUCUUGUGGAGCUCAACAAGUCAAAGAAUGUUCAGGGCCAUUCAGAACGUUGUGGGGAACUUGUUUUCUAAAUCUGUCUACUCUGACAGUAAAGAGGAAACAACAAUGGCAUAUGCCAGAAAUGUAAUUUGCCAAGUGAUUACCUCAAUGCAGAGUGACCUUCCAGAUUUCAAGAGUGUAGAAAAUUUAGAGCAAGCAGGUCUGGUUCAUAAGAUCCUUGGUGCUUUGUUUAAUGAAAUGCAAAUGAUUGACAUCAAAAUGGACAAGGAUAAGCCACAAAGCCAUCGACUGCCAUCGCUCUCCUCAGCUGACUCAGAAGGAAAUUACCAAAACGGACUCUGACACUCCUGUUCCCCCUAAUGUGCCUAUCAAAGGGAUUUCUCCUGUUUUCUUGUGUCGCAGUGCUGGAAUGAAGGACUUGUCAUUGUCUCCUAAAUGUUCACAUGAAACCAUCACUCAUGUGGUAGACACCAUCUUCGAAUGGGAGAAACGUGUUCCCAUCACUAGAAGACUGGAGGAAUUAAUCUCAGAUACCAAAAUUAUGGAAUAUUCUCAUAAUAUUGCAGGUGAAGUACAGAAGCUCCUAAAAAGUUAUCAUGGCGUCCAGACUAUAUCUGUGCCAGUGGGGAAGAGUCUCUCAGACUCCGUUGUGUACAAGUUGCGACCCAGAGCUGUAGGAAAAAAUGAAAUUCUAUCAGGAUUCAUUUACGGUUACGUAGAGGAGGCUGUGAAGCGACUUGUCCUUUCGUCUUUAUUUCCCUCAAUCUCUUCAUCGUCUGAGGUGUUCGGGAGCACAGUGGAUGUAUUCACACAGGUGAUGACUCAAGUAGUCAUGGAGACACUCUCCACACAGUCACAGGAUAACGUAGCUUCACAACUUUGAUGACAUCAAGGAAUUGGUCAAGGAUGAUCAGAAACUCUCAGACAAACAGGCACAGGACACUGAAAUGCCAUCUUUCACCAGUAGCUCAAAUAAUGUGCUCCCACAUAUUUUUGAUGAACAGAAAGAUUUGCCACAAAAUAGUCACUGUGAAAGAGGUACCUCUCUGUCCCACUUAAGUCUGUUAGAGUCCAACAUUAAUAACUAUGCAUCCUUGGUGUCUAUGCUGGUCAUCCAAUUGCUGAAGAAAAUUAAUAGUUUACACCAGAAUAUUAACCAGAACACACUUCCAGAUGAUGUUCUGGAUAUGUCCAAUGACUUGAUUGGGAAAAUUCUGAAUGAGCUCAAUACAGCUUUUGGCAUCAGAAGUGACGGACGUCAUCCUCAGGAGGUGAAUAUUCACCAGAUUUUCCGAGGUGUUUAUAAGGAGCUUACUCAAGACUUUGGGUCUGAAAACAUGCUCUGUUCUGCCCUGAAAUCACAAAAUCCAUCUCUAACAUCUUCACUGGUAGAAAAAUUGACCAAAGCAAUUGUAAAGACAUGUAGCCAAACAAGCACACCAGGCAUGUCUACCUCCAAGUCAAUUAGACCCCAGGGAAAAAAAGAGGAAAAGACAUAGAACAAUAUGUUUCCUUUUCGGCAGAAGAUGCCAAUUUUCAACUGGAAGAAAUCAAGGAGAGGAGAUCUCAACGAACGCAAGGACUCUCCUGCAAAGACAAGUUCUUCUAGAGUUCAGGCAAAUGAGACCUUGUCUGAGUUGAGGGAGACUCCUGCUGGUCCACUGGAGAUGCCACAGGAGGAAAAGACUGGGGGUGCUGUUUCUUCAGGAUCCCUAAGUUUUCAAGUUCUCCCUCAAGGUGGAUUUCAGUUCAUGCUAACACACGUUGCAUAUUCUAUAUUGAGUUUAACAAUGUUGAUUUCAUAGACUAGUGAGUGAAGGACAAAUCGAGUCAACAUGAUCUGUGAGUAUGCACAUGAAAUAUCUCCUCAUUAACAUUUGAAAUAAUUAAUCAUUUUAUCAGAAAAUAAUGAGAGGUGCUAAAGUUGCACAUUGUGACUGUCAACUCACUUGAAGAGAACAACAGUGUGCCAGGCUGUGCAACAUCGUCUCAUGAGAUUCAGCUUGAUAAGGCCACUGCUGAGCUGACUGCUUCCGAGGGUCAAACCAAGCCAGAAGAGACUGUAUCAGGGUUUGACAACACAUCCUCUCUAGAGAUGUGGCCAUCCCACACAGCUGUUUGAGUCAACUACACAGGCAGAUGAUCUUUUAGAUUAUCAGACUUUUUCUCUAAAUCUGGCUAUUUGUAUUGGACUUUUAUCAGCCCGAAUCUUUCAUCUUUAUUGUCUUUGUCACCUUUAAGUCAAAAUAAAUAUGCAUUCAAUGACCAUAGUGAGAUUUGUAUUUAGUCAAAAUAACAUCAAAUGACUGACUUGCUGACCCCUGGUGGAUGUAA